rnacentral:misc_RNA from 1 species
AACCUAGCACACCUGCGGUGUGUACCUGCGGAAGGAUCAUUACUGAGUUUACCGCUCUAUAACCCUUUGUGAACAUACCUUACUGUUGCUUCGGCGGGCAGGACGGCGGCCUCGGCCCCGGCCUCCCGGCCUCCGCCCCCUCUGCGGGGCGGCGGGCGCCCGCCGGAGGAUAACCAAACUCUGUUUUAACGUCGUCUCUUCUGAGUGGCACAAGCAAAUAAAUAAAAACUUUCAACAACG